AAACCUCAGUAGAAUUUUUAAUCUACUUUUCUGAAUUUGCAAUUCAACGUAUUAAUAUACUUCAAGGUC
rnacentral:tRNA from 1 species